rnacentral:lncRNA from 7 species
UGAUCUCAGUCUGUAAGUCCCAGCUUAGUUUUCUCUGUGGAUGCCUGAAGAUGCUUUUAUUUUAGAAUACCUUCAAUUUUCAGCCACAGUAACUCAGAAGACUCCUGUGGUUAUCUUGCAACUCACAGGUCCAAGAGGUCCAUACCAACAUAAACCAAAAGGUGCCAAAACUUCAGUGUUGGUGUUUCAAGUCUCUGGAGCAAUGACCUGCCAAGGAAGAGUAAAAGAAGUGUCUUGAGCCCUGAUAAAAUCAGAGAAUUCCCUAAAAUGAAAACACAUGGAUGCAGCUAGGAAAGCCACAGUUCUGUACCUUGCAAAGAAACUCAAGAAAUUCCUCCUGGAUCGAGCACCUGGCAAGAUAGAAGACUUUCCAGCAGCAAGACCUAUAUCAAAUCUGCGAUGCCAUUUAUCCCACAUUGGGAUGAUUGAUGUCACACUGCACCUGCUGUCUGUUCCAUGUAGAAGUCCUUCCCUUCAUAUCAAUGCACCAGGAAAAGGGAGAAUGGGCAGGGGAAGAACCCAAAGCACAGCAUAAGCUUAGAAUAAAUUGCCCCUCGUUCUCACUCAGCCAGGCAAGAGGGGCAGUGGAGCAAGACAGCUGUCUUUCAGUGUUUUCAAGAUAUGUUUCAAGCUCUGCACAGCUGGAGCUAUUCAGUAGCUUGUGGAGGAACUCUGUACCCUUGCCAAGGCUCUGCAGCUGCCAAAUCCUCCUUUAUUAGCAGCAGCGCUUUCUGUCCUCCAUAGCCAAAUGCAGAACAAGUCUAACAUUAUUUUUCAUCCAAUCUUCCCAAGCAUGCUAAGAUAAUCAUAAUAAUCACUUAGUGUGAUUAUUAGUGUGUAUGCAUGCUUUUCAAGUGUUUUCUUCUUUCUGUAUUCUUGUAUGUACACACUUAUAAUGCUCUGGAUGCAGAGUCCUGUAGAUCAUUGAACAUCUCUUUCCUAUUCUGGUCAGCUCUACAUCUCAGCUACAUUUAAACACCUAAUUUCUCAUUAUCUGUGGGCUCACCCAUGAACAGGUCUUUGUUUGGGUCCUGCUGCUCUUUGUAGGUGGUGUUCCCACCCCUAUAGAUGGCCAGAACAGCCCUUAAGUCCCACGUAAGUCCUAUUUUAAGAGUCUAAGUAGUUCUCAAGUGCUCUCCAUGCCUCUUCUGUACUGAGAUGAAGAUAAGCCUGUGCAAAUACCUACGCUGUAGAAGUGACACAGGGUAACUGUGCAAGAAAACUCUUGCUUUCCUUCCUUCUUGAUGCCUAUUUAGAAUUCAUUGCUGGUCACUUACUGAUGUUCAGUUUUUAAAGCAUUUCUCUGGUCAAGGGCCCAAAGAAAAGUAAACUCACUUAGAGGCCAGUCAUGUACUCCAAAUAAUAGGAACCCUACUGCUUAUCUAAGGACAGUCUUGGCUUCAUUUUUCAUUAUUUCAUUUUUCAGGUCAGGGCUUGCUCAAAAUGCUAGUGCAGGAAUGGGCAUGAAAGUCACUUCUUCUGGAUAAUGCAGACUUUACAGACAAGCCACAGGCAGCCGUGGCUUCCCUAGCUCUCCAGGCAGUACUUACAAGCACAGUUGCAGGAAUUAUAAGCCAUUUGCCAACAGCCGAGUAUUAUUUCUAAAAGCAAGUUCUAGUAUUGCUCUUAACAUUUAAUGGCUAUUCAUAGAAUGUUUAGACAUGUAUAUGAUAAUCAUUCUCUAAGGACUAACAAUUAUAGAAUUGUUUGAGUUGUAAGGUACCUUCAAAGGCCAUCUGGUCCAACUCCCCUGAAAUGAACAGGGACAUCUACAGCUCAAUCAAAGUGCUCAGAGCAUGUCCAGUCACUUGGCAAACAGUGGUGGUGUACACUAUGUUAACAUUACUGUGAUUAGAUGAAUAUUUUAGUUUCCAUUUUUUAGGUCAAAAAAAAAAAAAACCUAAAGCACAGAACUUCUGUGGCUUUCUCAUCACCAUUGGAGAAGUCUGAUUCAGAACUGGGAAUACAGCAAAGCUACUUUAUUCCUGUUAGCUUUGUAAAUCUUAUUGCAGAGUCAUGGAAGCUGAAUAGCUGUGUGUUGAAAAGGACUUGAAAAUCACGUAGACUGACCACUUGAUCAAAAAAGGGCUGGUUUAAUUCAGAUGCCUCAAGAUCUAUUCUAACUGAGUGCUGAAUAUCCCUGAGGAUGGAGGAUGGAUAUUGCACAACCUCACUGGAAUGUCUGACUACCCUCAUAGUGUGUGGUGGGGUUUUUUUUUGUUUGUUUUGUUUUGUUUUUUUUCCUAUUAUCUACCUGGAAUUCCCACAGCUUGAAGCUGUUUCUAUGGCCUCUUGCCCACUGUACAACUCUAGAAACAGUAUGACUCCUUCACUGUAUUGUCUUCUCAUAAAAAUGAAUUGUGGCCAGUUAUUUCACCACCUCUUAAGACUCUCAGCUUUAUUGCUGCAGUUUUAAUAACUAUGGUCAAUUCUUCAUUUCUAAAAAGAUUACUUCUGAUGACAUGGCUGCGUAUUACCCAGAGACUAUAGAAGAGACUCUGUUUGGUGGAGUCAGUCAUUUCACUCAGUAAAGUGGAAAAUCAGUGCAAUAUAUGCAUCUUGUUAGGCUCUACACUUGGUUAUGAUUUCCUGAUAAACCCUGGCCAUACUAGCAGAUCACUACAAAAGGAGUUUCUCCUGGGAUGCAUCCUCUACUGAUGCAAACUGUCAUCACCCUAUUAAGUCAUUGCGACCAUAAUGACAACACUUGCUAUACUACACUGAAUGAAAUUUCAC